rnacentral:rRNA from 1 species
UGUCUAAGUUUUUUGCAAUAAACAGUGAAACUGCGAAUGGCUCAUUAAAUCAGUCAUAGUUUAUUUGAUGGUACCUUACUACAUGGAUAACUGUGGUAAUUCUAGAGCUAAUACAUGCUGAAAAAUCCCGACUUCUGGAAGGGAUGUAUUUAUUAGAUCCAAAACCAAUGGCCUUCGGGUCCCUAUGGUGAAUCAUGAUAACUGCUCGAAUCGCAUGGCCUUGCGCCGGCGAUGCUUCAUUCAAAUAUCUGCCCUAUCAACUUUCGAUGGUAGGAUAGAGGCCUACCAUGGUGAUGACGGGUAACGGGGAAUAAGGGUUCGAUUCCGGAGAGAGGGCCUGAGAAACGGCCCUCAGGUCUAAGGACACGCAGCAGGCGCGCAAAUUAUCCCCUGGCAACACUUUGCCGAGAUAGUGACAAUAAAUAACAAUGCAGGGCUCUUACGGGUCUUGCAAUUGGAAUGAGUACAAUUUAAAUCCCUUAACGAGGAUCAAUUGGAGGGCAAGUCUGGUGCCAGCAGCCGCGGUAAUUCCAGCUCCAAUAGCGUAUAUUAAAAUUGUUGCCGUUAAAAAGCUCGUAGUCGAACUUCGGGCUCUGUCAGCCGGUCCGCCUUCUUGGUGUGUACUUGUUUGACGGAGCCUUACCUCCUGGUGAACGGCGAUGUCCUUUACUGGGUGUCGUCGCAAACCAGGACUUUUACUUUGAAAAAAUUAGAGUGUUCAAAGCAGGCCUUUGCCCGAAUACAUUAGCAUGGAAUAAUAAAAUAGGACGCGCGUUCCCAUUUUGUUGGUUUCUGAGAUCGCCGUAAUGAUUAAUAGGGAUAGUUGGGGGCAUUUGUAUUCCGUCGUCAGAGGUGAAAUUCUUGGAUUGCCGGAAGACAAACUACUGCGAAAGCAUUUGCCAAGGAUGUUUUCAUUGAUCAGAACGAAGGAAGGGGGAUCGAAACGAUUAGAUACCGUUGUAGUCUCUUCUGUAAACUAUGCCAAUUGGGGAUCGGUACAGUACAGGAUUUUAAUGACUGUAUCGGCACCCGAAGAGAAAUCUUUAAAUGAGGUUCGGGGGGGAGUAUGGUCGCAAGGCUGAAACUUAAAGGAAUUGACGGAAGGGCACCACCAGGUGUGGAGCCUGCGGCUUAAUUUGACUCAACACGGGGAAACUCACCAGGUCCAGACACAAUAAGGAUUGACAGAUUGAUAGCUCUUUCUUGAUCU